rnacentral:rRNA from 1 species
UACGUAGGGCGCAAGCGUUGUCCGGAAUUAUUGGGCGUAAAGAGCUCGUAGGCGGCUUGUCACGUCGAUUGUGAAAGCCCGAGGCUUAACCUCGGGUCUGCAGUCGAUACGGGCUAGCUAGAAUGUGGUAGGGGAGAUCGGAAUUCCUGGUGUAGCGGUGAAAAUGCGCAGAUAUCAGGAGGAACACCGGUGGCGAAGGCGGAUCUCUGGGCCAUUACUGACGCUGAGGAGCGAAAGCGUGGGGAGCGAACAGG